rnacentral:rRNA from 1 species
GAUGAACGCUGGCGGCGUGCCUAAUACAUGCAAGUCGAGCGAACGGACGAGAAGCUUGCUUCUCUGAUGUUAGCGGCGGACGGGUGAGUAACACGUGGAUAACCUAUCUAUAAGACUGGGAUAACUUCGGGAAACCGGAGCUAAUACCGGAUAAUAUUUUGAAUCGCAUGGUUCAAAAGUGAAAGACGGUCUUGCUGUCACUUAUAGAUGGAUCCGCGCUGCAUUAGCUAGUUGGUAAGGUAACGGCUUACCAAGGCAACGAUGCAUAGCCGACCUGAGAGGGUGAUCGGCCACACUGGAACUGAGACACGGUCCAGACUCCUACGGGAGGCAGCAGUAGGGAAUCUUCCGCAAUGGGCGAAAGCCUGACGGAGCAACGCCGCGUGAGUGAUGAAGGUCUUCGGAUCGUAAAACUCUGUUAUUAGGGAAGAACAUAUGUGUAAGUAACUGUGCACAUCUUGACGGUACCUAAUCAGAAAGCCACGGCUAACUACGUG